AUCUGGAGACUCGAUACUAGAAAGACAUGUGUUGGAUUUUGGGUCAGAUAUCUUCCUUCGCGGUGGUUUUCUGGCUGGAGUUCUUGAUUCCGGGAGCUGAUAAUCAAACAACCACAGAGUUCAAAUAUUAGGGGUUAAAUAAUGUCUUCUAGGAGUAGCAUUAGCUUUUACAGGUGUGGAUCUUAGGGUUUUGGUAACACUUGGUGUCUUAACAACUGGUUUCUUUUCAUGGAUACCACGAGUUGAUAGGUUUCUAGUAAAUGAUGUUGACAAAUCAUGUUCAGAUACACUAGGAUUUAAGGCACGAUCACUGCUGAAAGAUUGGGUUUGUGUUGUAUGACUAUGAGAGUGAACCAUUUUAGGUUGAGGUUGAGGUUCAAUGAAUGUUGUUUUCUUUUCGUAUGUAUAAUCAGUCCAAUGGACUGGAUAUGUAUGGUGGUGUCUUGGGGGGUUCAAGUUUAGAUUAAGAUUAUGUACGUAUGGUUGUAGAUGUGAAUGUCUGAGCAAAUCUGCAGCCUGGAAAUGUGUAAAAAAAUAAUUUCAAUUUCCAAAGUAUACACUGUUUUUAAUGUUUUUUCACACAACCAAAUGAAUUUAAAUAUUGCAAGACUAA